GGUGUAUGUAGUUCAGCUGGUUAGAAUACUGGCUUGUGACGUCAGUGGUCGAGAGUUCGAGUCUCUCCAUACACCCCAA
rnacentral:tRNA from 1 species